AGGAUUGGCGCCUCCACCACCACAUGGUAUGGGCCCAGUCCUCUGCCAGAUGCUGUUGGUCUUCUGGGCUCCCCUGAGUUGCUGUGUUGGCUGUGCCCAGAUCCUUGGAGUGGGAUAAGUGACAUUGGUGUCCCUACCGGAAGGCGGUCUUUGCUUUUGUUGUUCUGUGCCCACACGCUUGCAGUGUGGAACUUCUGCCCUUGCAAGCGGUGUCACUACUUCAGGCAUUGUCUUUGUGGAUACAGCAGGAAACCGCAGUCGGAGGUGGAUGCAAAUAUCCAACGCUUAGUCUCUGUGCUCAGGGAAUCCUGUCUGUACUUAGGGGCUGGUAGCCGUUUGUACCUGGAAGCUGCUUCCUUCACUUCAGAGUGUGGCAGAUCCUAAUUCCAUUGAAGGGCUGGUAGCUGUAAGAACAGCAUCUGAACCUGGAAAUAGCUUCCUUUGGGGUGUGGGCAUAAUGGGGUUUAAGGAUUACCUGGGCUCCUCCAAUCAGCGGUGUGAGAUCUGUGCGGCAGGUAACGAACACCGUGAGCCCCAUGUUGGUGCACUGCUUGUACGCAGGUGGCAGCAGAGCUGCGGUGCUCCCGAGUGCCGUAACAAC